UGGGGAAUUUUGGACAAUGGGCGAAAGCCUGAUCCAGCAAUGCCGCGUGCAGGAUGAAGGCCUUCGGGUUGUAAACUGCUUUUGUACGGAACGAAAAGGCUCUGGUUAAUACCUGGGGUCCAUGACGGUACCGUAAGAAUAAGCACCGGCUAACUACGUGCCAGCAGCCGCGGUAAUACGUAGGGUGCAAGCGUUAAUCGGAAUUACUGGGCGUAAAGCGUGCGCAGGCGGUUAUGUAAGACAGAGGUGAAAUCCCCGGGCUCAACCUGGGAACUGCCUUUGUGACUGCAUAGCUAGAGUACGGCAGAGGGGGAUGGAAUUCCGCGUGUAGCAGUGAAAUGCGUAGAUAU
rnacentral:rRNA from 1 species